ensembl:lncRNA
AUACAAACUUAGCAAUCUGUCUUCAAACACAUGCUUUAGUGCAAAAUGACAACAAAAUGACAAAGAAAAGAUGAACAGAUAGAGGUGGAUACAAACACAUGCAAUAAACUCAUUAAGAUUGCUGGUCUCUGAGCUGUUAUCAUUCCCGUGUUUCCUGAUUUUUGAAUUUGUGUGUUUUAAGGAUUUAUUUUUAGCCGCAUAUUGUUCAAAUCAGUAUGUUGCUGUGUUCAGCAAGUGGCAUCAUUAACAAGUUCACCUUAGCACAAUAUAAUUUGUUUGUCAAGCAUAACACAUCCAACUGUCAUCAGAAAUCUACAGGGAAAUAAUAUUUAAUUUACUUAGUUAAAGAGUAGUCAUGUCACACAUGAUUGUUAGCAGGAUGAGCAGCAGCCAUUUCCACCCUGUUAUAUUCUCCCCAUGAAUAUGCAAAGUUGUGUUGUCUUUCCUCUUUCACUCUUUGAUCAGUGGCUCUGUUUUUAGGAGAUCAGGUAAUGACAGCAGUGGGAUCCUGAAUGGAGACUGAGAGCCUAAAAUCAGGGCAUGUACCAACACGCCCCAAUUUUGAUAAAGAAGAUGCCCGAUCAUGCUGCACUCCUCCUGUGAGAUGCUGAAAAACAAUUCUAGAGAGAAUCCCGGGACCCAGAGGAGAUGAUGUUUUCCUCUACAACAAGCACUAAACACAGAACACUAGGGUCUUUGAUGUGGUCAACACCAGCACAUCAACCUCAUUUUAACACAUCUGUUACCCACAACAGCCAUGGAAAAGGCUUUCUGAACUCAUCAGGAUGUCAAGGCAAGCAUCACUGUUAUUAUUGUACAUACUCAGGGUUAGGAUUUAAGCAUAUGUCUAAUUGGUGUGUAGCUCGACCCAUAAUGUUUGUGCCACAUCGACAAACCACUACCAUGAGAUUUGUAUUGGCACCACUCAAUCCUAAAAAAAAAGUAAAUAUGUAGUUUCUUCAAGACCCGGUGAUAAUAAAACUGGAGUUUUGUAGCUGCUAAUUAAUGUC